ACCAUCCUUAAACUACAUCCAAAUAUAAACAUAUAUCUUUAUUCUAAGCCUCUUACUUAGUAAGAAUCAUUCCCACUCCCAUUCCAGUGAUGAAAGACACCUAUCACAAAGUUCGUCAUUCUCACUCCAUUCCAUUGAUGGUAAUAUGCAAUGCAUCUCUUAAUUUGCAUCAGUCAGCCUCUUUAAUAUCUCCACAUGCAAUAGGUUAAGAGGAUUAAGAUAAUGGAGUCGGUUUCGAUAUUUUCUGUACCCGUUAACUACUCGAACAUACUUCAAUCUCUACUAGUUCCUUCCUCCAUGUUGAUCCAAUACUUCUUAGUCUACUGGAACAUACUUCUUAAGUCUCUACUAUUUCAUUCCUCUACGAAACAAGGACUUCAUCAUACUGUUUUGCAAUGUGAGUAUCAACUUUUCCUAGAACCAUCUCAAUAAGGUCUAGGGUGCUUCGGAAGAAAGGUCAGUCCUUAUACAUUGAUUUCACUUUACAAUAGUUUGUCGAUUUUUUCACAUGGUUGAGACAUCACAAUUUUUUUUUUCUUUUCAUUUUCUAGUUUAAUAGGUUAACAAUUCAUUUUUUUUCUUUUCUAGUUUAAUCGGUUAAUAGAUGUUCCAACUUGUAAUUUGGUAUGGCUCGAACCGGCCUAAGCUUCAAUAAUCCAACUUUCAUAUAUGGCUUUAACUUUUGAUAAAAUUUUAAGUUCACUUAGCCGCUCCAGUUGAUUAGCUCAUUCAAUAUAUAUAUAUAUUUAGUGUACAUUAUCACUCAUAUCAUUUGAUAAAGUUUUUCAAAUAUAUGGAAGGAGGAAUCAAAAUUUUUGAGAAAGAUAGAUAGUACCAUUAAAAAUAGGCCAAAAAGUAGGUUUUAGCCGAAAAAAAAAAGAAAAAAAAAGUCAAAAUUUCAAUUAUUAAUCAAUGAGUAAAAAAAUGUCGAUAGUAGAGACAUAAUAACUAAUAUAUUAUAACAACCGUACCUAAAAAAAUAAAUUAGAAUUAUCUCAUGUAAAACCCUCCAACCAACCACCAUAAUCCAUAAUACGCAACUACAAACAAAAAAAAUACUAAUUGUUUUUAUAUAAUUCCAAUGGUAAUUGCAAACCUAAAAUUAGAUAUUGAAAAUGUAAAAGAAUUUAUAAAUACUUCAUUAUGAUAAAAACUUGAAAUCUAUUCUAUUAAUAAGGUUUUAGUUAAUAAGAAUCCCUAGUAAGAGAGAAAUCAAGAAAUUUGACGAUUUAAUAGGUACACAUGCAAACACGGCAAACAAAAGUUUACCUAAAAUGUUCCAUAUAAAAUUAAUUCAAAUAAUUACAAUCCUUAAACUAGAUAACAUUUUCAUUCCAAUAUAAAUCUGUUGUUCUCAUCAUCACUCUUUUUUUUUUCAAGCACAACCUACCUCUUUAUUCUAAGCUCUUACCUAGUAAGAAUCACUCGACUUAACGAUUGAAAGGCAACCACACAUUUAAAGUAUGUUCCUCAUUCAAGUUGCGAUUCCAUUGAUGAUUCAAAGGAUUAAGAUAACGAAGUCGAUCAACUUCCUCAAACUUCAAUUGUUUUCGGAUAGUUUUUCAUGCCUGCUAAACUACCCGAACAAACUUCUUAGUCUCAACUAGUUCCUUCCUCAAUGUUGAUCCAAUUUUACACCGAUGAAACAAGGACUUCAUCCUAACAUUGUGCAAUGUGAGUAUUCUCUUUUCCACCUACCCAAUUACUAUUUUAGAAUUUGAAAGUUUGUAGUCGGUUACGAGGAUUAAGAUAAUGGAGUCGGCUUUCGAUCGGUUUCUACUCUUUUUUCGGGUAGUUUUCUGUAUGGGCUAACUAGUGGAACAUACUUCAGUUUCUACUAGUUCCUUCCUCAAGGUUGAUCCAAUUUUGUACCGACUCUAUGAAACAAGAACUUCCUAAUGUUUUGCAAUGUGAGUAUUCUCUUUUUCAGGUACCCAAUUACUAUUUAAGAAUUUGAAACUAACAAAAUUUGAAAUCAUUCUUGCUUUUUUUAGGGUAAUUUCUACUCUAAAGUUUGUAGGCAUUCCAACCUCAUCAAAUCCAAAGUCUUCCUCAAACUGGCCUAACCUUCGAUAAUCCAAUUUCAUAUAUUUUUAUAUAUGGCUUAAUUUUGCUUCUUUUCAUAAAAUUUGAAGUUCGGCCAACAGUCGUAUUUGAUUGACUCAUUUAAUAUAUAUACAUAUAUCUACACACAUGUACAUGCAGACAUACACACAUGUACAUGCAGACAUACACAUAUGUACAUGCAGACAUACACAUAUGUAUAUGUACACAUACACAUAUGUACAUGACACAUACACAUCCCUCGAUAUACACUCAUAUCAUUCAAUAAAGUUGUAAAGUUUUUCAAAUAUAUGAAAGGAGGAAUCUAAACUUUGAGCAUCAAUCUAAACAAUUUUAAUCGAUAUUAGUUAUUUUGUUUUGAUGUUUGAUAAUUAGUAAAAAAAAUAUAAAGUACCAUUAAAAAUAUAAAACCAAAAAGUUGUUGAAAAAACUUUUUCAAUUAUUAAUAAGUAAAAAAAAUCUUGAUAGUAAUGAUAUAUUAACACAAUCGUAUCUACGAAGUAGUAGGCCACUGCUAACGAAAAAAAAACUUAUAUGAUCAUUUUUCAUUGUUCUUAUAUUAACACAAUCCUCUCGUCUAAUAUAAUUCUAAUGGCAAUUGCAACUAUAACAAUAAAAAAAUUAUAGAAAAUCUAAAAGAAUCUAUAAAUACUGCAAAAUUCUGAUAAGACUAAAUCUAUCAAUAAUAGGUUUUAUCGAAUCCCCAAGUAACAGCAAAAAAGAAGACUGAGUAUUUAAUACUAUUGUUCUCAUGCAAGGCAAA